AAUCAUAAACCCUAAGCCCCCUUCGCUGUUGCUCUCUUCUUCGCCCGCUCCUCUUUGCUACCAAAUGCCGAUGGCGAAGCCUCCGAAUCCCAAUUCCCAGAAGAACGAGAAGAGACCGCAGGGGAAGGUCGAUGAGGAGGAGGGCGAGGGAGACGUUCUCUCUUCCAAACUUCCCGAAGAGAUGGAAUCCCUUGACGGUGAUUCCGCCUCCGACAACGAGGAGGAGGAGGAGGAAGACGGCAGCCAAGUGUCCGACCUCGACGACGAGCAAUCUCGAUCGGACGUCUCCUCCGAUGGGGAUCCCUUCACCGAUGACUUCCUUGGAGGCAGCGAUGAGGAAGGAGAGGAAUUGAGGUCAGAGUCGGACGAGUCUGAUUUAGAGGCGAAGUCAAGAGCGAUUGAUGAGGCGAGAGCGAGGGCAGAGGUGGAGGCAGAUGAGGAAUUGAGGCUCAAUAUAAAGGAAGAGUCGGAUGAGUUCAGAUUGCCGACAAAAGAGGAGCUCGAAGAAGAAGCUCGUCUGCCACCAAACCUUUCAAAUCUCCAGCGGAGGAUAAAAGAGAUUGUCCGUGUGCUCACAAAUUUCAAGACUCUGAGGCAGGAGGGUGCCUCGCGGAAGGAUUACAUUGAUCAGCUUAAGGCGGACAUAAUGGCUUAUUAUGGCUAUAAUGAGUUUCUAGCUGAUACUUUCAUUGAGAUGUUCCCAGCUGUUGAGCUCAUUGAACUACUGGAGGCUUUUGAGAAGAACAGACCUGAAUGCUUGCGUACAAACACUUUGAAGACUCGGAGGCGGGAUCUUGCUGGUGUUCUAAUAAAUAGAGGGGUGAAUCUAGACCCAGUAGGGAAGUGGUCUAAGGUUGGGCUCGUUGUGUAUGAGUCACAAGUGCCUACUGGUGCAACACCUGAAUAUUUGGCUGGGCACUACAUGAGACAAGCUGCAAAUUCUUUUUUACCUGUUAUGGCUCUUGCUCCCCAAGAAAAGGAACGAAUUGUUGAUAUGGCGGCUGCUCCAGGUGGUAAGACAACAUACAUUGCAGCUCUUAUGAAGAACACUGGAGUAAUUUAUGCAAAUGAGUACAAGGAACCAAGGCUGAAGUCACUACUAGCCAACAUACAUCGUAUGGGUGUGACAAACACUGUAGUGUGCAACUAUGAUGGGAAGGAGCUACCGAAGAUUCUCGGAUUAAAUUCUGUUGAUAGAGUAUUACUGGAUGCCCCCUGCACCGGCACUGGGACUGUAUGCCCAGAUCAACAAUCUAUUAAAACAUCCAAGUCCAUUGAAGAUGUACAAAAUUGUGCUUUUCUUCAAAAGCAACUGAUUUUAGCAGCAAUUGAUUUAGUGGAUGCUAAUUCAAAAUCAGGGGGAUAUGUUGUCUACUCAACUUGCUCUGUGAUGAUUCCAGAGGUUUGUAUAAAGAACAUGAAUGCCUCGUCACUUAAUCAAAAUUCAAGAUUAAUGUGUUAUCUUUUUAAGGCAUUCCUUUAUAUUGUGCAGAAUGAAGCUAUUAUAGACUAUGCACUUAGAAAGAGAGAUGUAAAGAUUGUGCCAUGUGGAUUGGACUUUGGUCGCUCAGGAUUCAUCCGCUUUAGGGAGCAUAGGUUUCAUCCCUCUUUGGAAAAAACAAGGCGGUUUUAUCCCCAUGUAAACAACAUGGAAGGAUUUUUUGUGGCGAAGUUGAAGAAGCUAAGCAAUUCCAAACCAGCAGCUCCAGGAGCUCCUAACACAUCAGAAAAAACAGAAGAGGCAGCAGCUAUCGAUGACGAUAAGAAGCUACGGAAGGAUGCCCCAAAUGGAAAACCUGAGCAGCUCAAAAAUUCAAGGAAGGGUAAAGGAAAGAAAAAGAUUGGUUUUAAAAGCGGAACCCACAGCGAAGGAAAGGUAUCACCAUCCAAACCCAAGCUGAGGAAAAAACGGAAGUUCGCUUCUAGAGAGGAAAUUUCACAAGCCAGAGAGGAGAAAAGGAAAUCCUUGAAGAAGAGAAAGGUCUGAGGAGCAUGGUAUUGGAAGAGCAAGGGAGAACAAGCUGUUGAAUUGAUGUGGGGAGGAGGAAAAAACCCUCGGCUGCUCGAUCGACCGAUUGGGACCUAUCAACUGGAUUCAGAGGCUGAAGCAAUGCGGCGUAUUAGAUGGUUUGAUAGAAAGAUAUAAAUCCAACGCCUCCAGACUCCACUCUUUGGUUUUCUAGUUGCCACUACGAGGUGUUGGAACUGUCGGUCAAUUACAGUAUUGUCUUUUGGAGUUGGGUGAGGUCUUCUUGGGGAUGUGGCUGAAAUUUUUGUGGACUCCUUGACUCUCGAAGUUUUGUUAAAAUUUUGGGGCUGAGCUGGUUUGAGUAUGUGUUUAGUUUUACAUUGGUUAUUCGCUGAAA